rnacentral:lncRNA from 1 species
GCCCUUUUCACUUGAAUGCAGACCAGCAAAGUAUCCCUUAGGGCUGCUCUCGAAUGCGCCCCUCGAUAUAAUGGCCGCACCUCCACUCCCCGGAGCUACCAUCAUUCCCGAAGCCCCACCUCCGCCUUUGGAUGUGCUUCCUCCUCCAACAUUUCCAGAGCCACCACCGCUGCCUCCGCAACCACCUUUGCUGCCACCGCCACUUCCACCUUUGCCACCGCCACUUCCACCUUUG